CAUGUAGGCGGUUUGAUAAGUCGGAUGUGAAAUCCCUGGGCUUAACCUGGGAAUGGCAUUCGAUACUGUCAGGCUAGAGUAGGAUAGAGGAGAGGGGAAUUCCGCGUGUAGCAGUGAAAUGCGUAGAUAUGCGGAGGAACACCAAUGGCGAAGGCACCUCUCUGGGUCCAUACUGACGCUGAGAUGCGAAAGCGUGGGGAGCAAACA
rnacentral:rRNA from 1 species